UGCAGGAUGAAGGUCCUAUGGAUUGUAAACUGCCUUUGUACGGGAAGAAACCCCUCCUCGUGAGGAGGGCUGACGGUACCGUAAGAAUAAGGAUCGGCUAACUCCGUGCCAGCAGCCGCGGUAAUACGGAGGAUCCGAGCGUUAUCCGGAAUCAUUGGGUUUAAAGGGUCCGUAGGUGGCCUUGUAAGUCAGUGGUGAAAUCUCACGGCUCAACCGUGAAAUGGCCAUUGAUACUGCGGGGCUUGAAUUAUCGGGAAGCAGCUAGAAUAUGUAGUGUAGCGGUGAAAUGCUUAGAUAUUACAUGGAAUACCGAUUGCGAAGGCAGGCUGCUACCGGUGGAUUGACGCUGAUGGACGAAAGCGUGGGGAGCGAACAGGAUUAGGUACCCUGGUAGUCCACGCCGUAAACGA
rnacentral:rRNA from 1 species